CCGCUCUGCCGCCUCCAGGCAUUGGCGCUCUUGCGGGAGUGGGUUAGGGCCCUGCGGUUCCAGGGCUCUCCCAGUGGAGCAGGGGGUAAGGGAUACGCAUGUAGGGGCGUAGGGGCCGACCAGUUGACCGCACGGGCGCAGAGUUUCAUCCUCGCGUCGCCUCUGUUGGCUCUUAGAGGCGACCAGCCCUGUAGCUGAGCCAGGUUUCCCACCCAGUGAUGGACGAAGGGAAGAAACACCUUUGAGGUGUCGCCCACCCUCAGUCGGAGGGAUGACCCGCUUCUUCCUGGCCGGGCUUUAUACUCCUGGACACUCGCAAAGAAACCCCGUGGUGGCGCAGCCUCGACUGCUCCACGUGCGAUGCUUCCAUGGCUGGGCUCCUGCCUCUGGGGAUUCUGACUGUUUGCCCCUGGCCCAGCCAUAACUGUGACUCAAGGACCGAGGGCAGACACUGAGGUUGACACCGAGCAGCAGGACAAGACUCCUAGAAAGGAGUGGAGCCAAAAACUGGAUGGAGUCCGGAUCCCU